UACGUAGGUGGCGAGCGUUGUCCGGAAUUACUGGGUGUAAAGCGCGUGUAGGCGGGAGGCCAAGUCUGCUGUGAAAUCGCCCGGCUCAACUGGGCGGGGUCGGUGGAAACUGGUCACCUGGAGGACGGUAGAGGCGAGUGGAAUUCCCGGUGUAGUGGUGAAAUUCGUAGAUAUUGGGAAGAACACCAGUGGCGAAGGCGGCUCACUGGCUCGUAUCUGACGCUCAGGCGCGAUAGCGUGGGGAGCAAACAGG
rnacentral:rRNA from 1 species